rnacentral:RNase_P_RNA from 1 species
GCCAUCGGGCAAUCGAGCACCUCUUAGGUGUUAGGAAAGUCCAUGCUAGCACAGACUGUGAUGUCUGUAGUGAUUGCGCUAAACGAAUCGAUAAGUUUAGGCGCCCAAAAGGUGACGGCGGCGAAUUGGAUUUAAAAGGCCAUAGUAGCCAUAAAGUGCCACAGAGACGAAUCGUGCCGAAUAGGUACGGCUGAAACGCGGUAAACCCCACAAGCUAGAAACCCAAAUUACGGUAGGGGCACGACGGAUCGGGAAACGAACCGGAUCUGUCGACGGGCUUAGCCCGGAGAUAAAUGAUUGCCGCUCCUAAGGGAGUACAGAACAUGGCUUAUAGAU